rnacentral:rRNA from 1 species
UGGGGAAUAUUGCACAAUGGGCGCAAGACUGAUGCAGCAACGCCGCGUGAACGAUGAAGGUCUUCGGAUCGUAAAGUUUUGUUGCGGGGGAAGAUAAUGACGGUACCCUGUGAGGAAGCCCCGGCUAACUACGUGCCAGCAGCCGCGGUAAUACGUAGGGGGCUAGCGUUAUCCGGAUUUACUGGGCGUAAAGGGUGCGUAGGUGGUCUUUCAAGUCGGUGGUUAAAGGCUACGGCUCAACCGUAGUUAGCCUCCGAAACUGGAAGACUUGAGUGCAGGAGAGGAAAGUGGAAUUCCCAGUGUAGCGGUGAAAUGCGUAGAUAUUGGGAGGAACACCAGUAGCGAAGGCGGCUUUCUGGACUGCAACUGACACUGAGGCACGAAAGCGUGGGUAGCAAACAGG